rnacentral:rRNA from 1 species
CGACCGGCGCACGGGUGCGUAACGCGUAUGCAACCUACCUUUAACAGGGGGAUAACACUGAGAAAUUGGUACUAAUACCCCAUAAUAUCAUAGAAGGCAUCUUUUAUGGUUGAAAAUUCCGAUGGUUAGAGAUGGGCAUGCGUUGUAUUAGCUAGUCGGUGGGGUAACGGCUCACCAAGGCGACGAUACAUAGGGGGACUGAGAGGUUAACCCCCCACACUGGUACUGAGACACGGACCAG